GACGAACGCUGGCGGCGUGCUUAACACAUGCAAGUCGAACGAGAAUCUGCGGAAAGAGGAUUCGUCCAAUUGAAGCAGAGGACAGUGGCGGACGGGUGAGUAACGCGUGAGGAACCUGCCUUUCAGAGGGGGACAACAGUUGGAAACGACUGCUAAUACCGCAUAACAUAUAGAUGUCGCAUGGCAUUUAUAUCAAAGAUUUAUCGCUGAAAGAUGGCCUCGCGUCUGAUUAGCUAGUUGGUGAGGUAACGGCCCACCAAGGCGACGAUCAGUAGCCGGACUGAGAGGUUGAACGGCCACAUUGGGACUGAGAUACGGCCCAGACUCCUACGGGAGGCAGCAGUGGGGAAUAUUGGGCAAUGGGCGCAAGCCUGACCCAGCAACGCCGCGUGAAGGAAGAAGGCUUCGGGUUGUAAACUUCUUUUGUCAGGGACGAGUAGAAGACGGUACCUGACGAAUAAGCCACGGCUAACUACGUGCCAGCAGCCG
rnacentral:rRNA from 1 species